CAGGGGCGUAGGAAGCACCUGGAGUUUGGGGGGGCACCGGCUUGUAGGGGCACAUUACUAUCGGAAAGGGCACCUAAAAAAUUUUUCCCGGAAAUGUUGUCGACGGGGGGGGGAGGGGGGGGAGGAGGAGAGAAAUUUCUCCUGAGGAAAAUUUUCCGUCGUAUCAUACCGAAAUUUAUGUUUGUGACCUAAUUUUUAAAAAAAAAUUGUAAAUUUCCACACAAAAACGGCACCUAUUGUUUUAAUUUAGUAUUUACAGCGACAUUAGCUUCUACAAAAGGGGCACUUUUCUUCACAAAAAAGGGCACUUUUCAACACAAAAAGGGCACUUUUUAUCACAAAAAACGGCACUUUUAGUCCUUUAAAAAAAAUUGGGGGGGCACGUGCCCCCCGUGCCCCCCCGCUUCCUACGCCCCUG